CCCUCUGCAGGCCCGGGGGUGUGUCAGGCUGUGGGGAGUGACGUCCCGAGCCACGUGGGUGCUGCGUGGCUCGUAGUCCUUGUCAAGCACCGGUGACCCGCGGGGUGGGCAGCGGCCGGGCUUGCAGGUUUCCGUUCCUUCCCUUAAGACGCCAUUUGGGGGGCAGUGGGUGAGGUCCCCGGCCUCGGCCGCAGCUUUCCCUUAAGGCUGUCAUUUGGGGGGCGGAGGCUCAGGUCCGUAGCCAGCUCCGCUGCCCUCUUGAGGCAUCAUUUGGGGGAGCGGUGGGCAGGGGCGGUUUGUCUCUGCCUGCGGUCCUCCCUUAAGACGCCACUGGGGUCCGCAGUGGGGAGGGCCGGAGGGCCCCCGCAGUCCUCCUUGAUGGUGUCAUUUGCGGGGGGCAGCGGCCAGGUCCGUAGGCCCCCGCUGUCCUCCCUUAAGUUACCAUUCGGGUUGGCAGUGGGUCUGGUCUGAACCCCUGUAGUUCUCACUUAAGGCCUUUCGGGGGGGGCCGCGGGCCAGGUCCCUAGGGCUUGGCCCGCGGCCCCUCCUUAAGGUGUUACUUGGGGCUGCAGUGGGCAAAGGCCUGGAGGUCGCCGCUGUCUGCUCUCGGGGUCAUCUUGCCGAGCUGCGGUGUGGUGCUGCCCUGCUCGCAAACGGGUCAAGCACUGACAGUCUUUUCACACCCCCAAGCCCGAGCUACGGUGUGGUGCUGCCUAGCUCUGUGGGCGGUCAAGCACUGGUGGUCACUUGAGGGGACUUGUGCCCUCUCAAGGCCAUCCCAUGGGGAAGCACGAGCACACGGGGCGCCGCCAAAAAAACCAGCAGAGAAAACAGCACAAAAGCAGGUGUGAGCUGGCCUGCUAUUUAAUGGACAAAUAAAAUUGAUCUGCCAGGCACCUUCUUGGUGCCUGGUGCCUUUCACCUCCAAGUUCCUGCUCCCCCUCUGCGCUGUUUCUCUUCUCUCCUGUCCUGUUCUUUCACAUCCAAGUUUCCCCGCCCGCUGCCCCCUUUCAUUUCUGCAGUGGUUCCCUUGCAACCACUGCGUGCUGAGGGCCUCCGGGCUGGCCACCCAGGAUGCUGAGUCCCUUGCUGAAAGGGAUUGGUGGCAGAUGUCGCUUGACUUGGCUCUCCGGGAGUCGAGUGUUGGAGACUGGCCUGGCCACCUGAGGCUGCAGCCCCGAAUCCUGCAAAGCAGGUCCCCUUUGGGGGUCUGCACGUCAUCCCCAGAAGGACAAGCAGACAAGAUGGCAGAUGGGUCGGAGCGAGCUGACCGGGAAGGCGGAAAACGAGGCCAGCCUAACAGGAGGCACAGGCCUCGGGAGAACCAGGAGAAGCAGCGGGGAAGAGGCGAGGUAGGAGAAAAGCCAGGCAGAGAAACAGGAUGAGAAGGAAAGGGAUUCUGGACAGAGUGACCUCCCUGCCUUUAGGUCUCAAUCAUGUCUCAGCCAAAUUUUGGCUGCGUGAGCCUUUGGGCGAGCUCUCUGUAACUCAGAGAUGGAUCUCUGCCCUUGAAGCUGUUACACUUCUGUAGCAGUCAGGUGGAAGGUGGACAACCCUGUAAGCAAGGUGUGUGUCACCGCUACCUCGUUUGUAAAUCCACGGAUCUGGCUGGUGGUCUUGUGCGGAGCAGCCGCCCUGUAAUCGGGGUGCAGGCCAGCUGCCAAACAUGACUGCCAAUGCUGCAGCCUCCUAUAAGCAGGGUGAGUGCUGCUCCUAACAUGCGAGGACAGGCGAUAUGAACGUGUGUAGCGCUGGACAUCCCGUAAUUGGGAGUCCAAGUCCACUGCUAUUGCUAGCCAGUUGGAGAGGUGCCCCUGUAAGCAGGGUGGGCAUAGCCACCUACCGCUGGCUGGAGAGAGACGGAGCAGCCUGCCGCAUUGUGCAGCAGGACAGCCUUGCAGACAGGAGCCGGGUCUCGUUGGUGACAGCAAACAUUUUAGACCCCGGAGCCUGAUGACUUUCCCGUGGCUGGGUUGAAGCCUGUGGCCUCCUCACCUUUCCCUGUGUCCAGGCAUCUGUCCCUUGUCCUGCAUCAGUGCCUGGUACUCCAUGUCCGGACCCCUGGACUGCCCUGUAACGAGGGUGUGAGUCCCGUGUCUCUUGGUGGAGGACUAGGUUAUGCAAAGCAGUGGACCACCCUGUAAGCAGGGUCUGGGCAUCCAUGUCCCUUUGGUGAGAGAGCUUUCCUUUGGCUAGCCUGAGGGCCCGGCCUGCAAGCAGGGCUCUGGGCAUGUCCCUUUUGAACCUUGUGGGCAGUCUGGCUGGUCAGACGGGCCGGGCCCUGUAACGAGGGUGCGAGUCCCGUGUCUCUUGGUGGAGGGCUAGGUUCUGCAGAGCUGUGGACCACCCUGUAAGCAGGGUCCAGGUCUCAGUGUGCUUUUGGGGACAGCUCUGUCCUUUGGCUGGCUGUUGGCCCGCCCUGUAAGCAGGGCUCUGGGCAUGUCCCUUUUGAACCUUGUGGGCAGUCUGGCUGGUCAGACGGGCCGGGCCCUGUAAGGAGGGUGCGAGUCCCGUGUCUCUUGGUGGAGGGCUAGGUUCUGCAGAGCCAUGGACCACCCUGUAAGCAGGGUCCAGGUCUCCACGUGCCUUUUGGGGACAGCUCUGUCCUUUGGCAGGCUGAGGGCCCUCCCUGUAAGGAAGGCCUCGCCUAUGGGCUAUCUGGCUGGCCAGGCGGGCCGUACCCUGUAAGGAGGGUGCCGGUCUUAGCCGUCUUGCCUCCUGGGAGCGGAGGAGGAUUUUGCAGGGUAAGGCUCGAGGACAAGCAGUUUGCAGCACGGAGCUGCUUUCCGGCCUGGGAACACUCUUCCUUGUCAGUGUGUGGCGAGCGAGAGAGAGGAGCGCCUGGGAAUGAAAGCGUUUGUUAUUUUCUUUUUGUUGUUAAAAUCGCUGCAGCGUACUUUAUUUUCUUCCCAGUGCUGGAAAGGGGCGAGAUGUGUCCACAUAGCCUUAUUCUUCCACCUCUGUACCUAGGGGGUUAAGCACCGGCAUAGAUUUCUGUGACUUCUGGCUUCGGGGAGCAUUAGGCCACCCCCCCCCAGUGACCUCCCUGUCUCUCAGGGUACGGGUCUUGGGCCCCCCUUGGGUGGCCAGCACGGUCCUUUGCCCACUUGGUAGCUCACACGAAGACUUCCUGCCAUCCGUCCUGGGGGCAGGCUCUGUAUCCCAUACCCGAGUCCCUGGAGACAAGUGCCCUGGCACUUGGCCAGCCGUCCUCCUGCGCCCCUGGCCCCGGCCUGCAGCCUGUAAGCAGGGUCCAGGUCCCCUUGAUUUUCUGGGUCUUGUUCCAGUGGGUGAGGUUGGCCAGAGACGAUACCCACGGGCUACAGGGAAGGUUGCAGUGCGCUGGCACCCCGAGGCAUCGUGACCUCCCUGUAACUCAGGUCCAGGUCUCUGCUCCUCUGUUCUGCUGCUCCUGGCACUGUUGAGAGGGCCUCUCCCCGCGCCCGGUAAACAGGGCUGCGCCCCCCACCCGCUCUGACCCUGGGGGAGGAGGCUUUGUUUAGUCCUUUGGGCUCUGUGGCUUCAGUGACACGAGGCUGAAGUUGUGGCCCUUAUGUCCUCCAGGAAUGGGGCAAUUUUGACCCCUGGUCAAGACGGCCUGAGGUACCUGUCAGCUGGCAUUCAGGUCUUUGCAGGUUUUCUCUGGGCUUCAUGCCCCAGCAGCCAGCUGUGUGCCGGGAGCACCGCCCUGUAAGCAGGGUUUCUGGUGUUGGCGGUCACCGCUCAUGGUGCCGCCCAAGCAGUUCUGUCCAGAGCCCUGGCCUUCGCACGCAGCUUCUGGCUGGCCCGGAUGUCUGCCUCCCCCAUCUCUGCGGACAGAGGACAGCGGCCGCAGGUCCAGGCCCAAGCAGAGAAAAUGGCAGACCAGCAGGAAUCCACUUACAAGGAGGGAAGAAAACCAUGCCAGCCCAGCAAAGGUGUCGGAAGGACAAGCCGCAGGCAAGCCGUGACGGGCAAAAAGCCAGCAAAACGGGGUGCGAAGGGAAGGGACUCUGGACAGAAUGAUCUCCCUGCCUUCAGGUCUCAGUCAUGUAUUAACCACUUUUUGCAUGUGUGAGCCUUUGGGCGAGCUCUCUGUAACUCAGAAAUGGGUCUCAGCCCUUGAAGCCGUUGCACUUCUGCAGCAGUCGGGUGGAAGGUGGACAACCCUGGAAGCAAGGCGUGUGUCGCCGCCGACUCUUCUCAAGGCCGUGGAUCUGGUUGGUGGUCUUGCGCAUCGCAGCCGCCCUGUAAUCAGGGUCCAGGCCAGCUGGCUGCCAAUGGUGCAGCCUCCUGUACGCGGGGUGCGUGCUGCCUCCUAACACGUGAGAACAACAGGCAAUUUGACCAUGUGUAGCGCUGGACUUCCCGUAAUUGGGAGUCCAAGUCCCCUGCCAUAGCCAGCCAGCCGGAGAGGUGCCCCUGUAAGCAGGGUGGGCAUAGCCGCCUUCCGCUGGGCUGAGAGACACGGCGCAGUCUGCCGCGUUGUGCAGCAGGAGGGCCUUGCAGACAGGAGCCGGGUCUCGUGGAGUGACAGCAAACUCUUCGCAUCCCAGAGCCUGAUGACCUUCCUGUGGCUGGGUUGAAAUCUGUGGUCUCCUCACCGUUCUCUGAGUCCAGGCAUCUGUCCUUCAUCCUGCAUCUGUGCCUGGUACUCCACAUCCAGACCCCUGGGCCACCCUGUAACGAGGGGGCGAGUCCCAGGCAUCCUGUAGGACGGCCAGGGUCUGCAGAGCUGUGGACCACCCUGUAAGCAGGGUCCAGGUCUCAGUGUGCUUUUGGGGACAGCUCUGUCCUUUGGCUGGCUGUUGGCCCGCCCUGUAAGCAGGGCUCUGGGCAUGUCCCUUUUGAACCUUGUGGGGCAGUCUGGCUGGCCAGAUGGGCCGUGCCCUGUAAGGAGGGUGCGAGUCCCGUGUCUCUUGGUGGAGGGCUAGGUUCUGCAGAGCUGUGGACCACCCUGUAAGCAGGGUCCAGGUCUCCACGUGCCUUUUGGGGACAGCUCUGUCCUUCGGCAGGCUGAGGGCCCUCCCUGUAAGGAAGGCCUCGCCUAUGGGCGAUCUGGCUGGCCAGGCGGGCUGUACCCUGUAAGGAGGGUGCCGGUCCCAGCCGUCUUGCCUCCUGGGAGUGGAGGAGGAUUUUGCAGGGUAAGGCUCGAGGACAAGCAAUUUGCAGCACGGAGCUGCUUUCCGGCCUGGGAACACUCUUCCUUGUCAGUGUGUGGCGAGCGAGAGAGAGGAGCGCCUGGGAAUGAAAGCGUUUGUUAUUUUCUUUUUGUUGUUAAAAUCGCUGCAGCGUACUUUAUUUUCUUCCCAGUGCUGGAAAGGGGCGAGAUGUGUCCACAUAGCCUUAUUCUUCCACCUCUGUACCUAGCGGGUUAAGCACCGGCAUAGAUUUCUGUGACUUCUGGCUUUGGGGAGCAUUAGGCCACCCCCCCCCAGUGACCUCCCUGUCUCUCAGGGUACGGGUCUUAGGCCCCUCUUGGGUGGCCGGCACGGUCCUUUGCCCACUUGGUAGCUCACACGAAGACUUCCUGCCAUCCGUCCUGGGGGCAGGCUCUGUAUCCCGUACCCGAGUCCCUGGAGACAAGUGCCCUGGCACUUGGCCAGCCGUCCUCCUGCGCCCCUGGCCCCGGCCUGCAGCCUGUAAGCAGGGUCCAGGUCCCCUUGAUUUUCUGGGUCUUGUUCCAGUGGGUGAGGUUGGCCAGAGAUGAUACCCACGGGCUACAGGGAAGGUUGCAGUGCGCUGGCACCCCGAGGCAUCGUGACCUCCCUGUAACUCAGGUCCAGGUCUCUGCUCCUCUGUUCUGCUGCUCCUGGCACUGUUGAGAGGGCCUCUCCCCACGCCCUGUAAACAGGGCUGCGCCCCCCACCCGCUCUGACCCUGGGGGAGGAGGAGGCUUUGUUUAGUCCUUUGGGCUCUGUGGCUUCAGUGACACGAGGCUGAAGUUGUGGCCCUUAUGUCCUCCAGGAAUGGGGCAAUUUUGACCCCUGGUCAAGACCGCCUGAGGUACCUGUCAGCUGGCAUUUAGGUCUUUUCAGGUUUUCUCUGGGCUUCAUGCCUCAGCAGCCAGCUGUGUGCCGGGAGCGCCGCCCUGUAAGCAGGGUUUCUGGUGUUGGCGUCACCGCUCAUGGUGCCGCCCUAGCAGUUCUGUCCAGAGUCCUGGCCUUCGCACGCAGCUUCUGGCUGGCCCGGAUGUCUGCCUCCCCCAUCUCCGUGGACAGAGGACAGCGGCCGCAGGUCCAGGUCCCCGAAGGGCAGCUGGAGAAGAAGGAACGGAACCAGCAGAAGCAAGCUCGGGAACAAGAAGUGUGGGUCGGGGUGGGCAGGAGGAAGGGGAAUGUUUAAUGUCUGCUCAGAGAAGGACAGAUGGAGGCUGUUGAGUGCAUCUACACUUUCACACACCCAGGAGGAGCAAGCAGCCACACGCUUCAAGUUGCACCGUGCAUUCAGUCUUGGGUUGGCCCCGAUUGUGUGCAGGGAGGUUGAGGCUUUGUGCUAGUCGUGCAUAUCGAUAUGCAGCAGUCAAGGGUUUUGCAGGUUGUGUGCAAGGAGGCUGAGGCGUUGUGCUAGUUGUGUGUAUUGAUAUGCAGCUGUCACGGGUUUCGCAGGCGGUUUGGCUUUGCCAGUGAAGCGGUGGAUCAGAAUAGGUGUGACUGAAGGCAGCGUGUAGGGCGUUCUUGGUUGGGUUGUUGAGCGGUUCUCGGUGUUAGUGUAGGAACACAGGUUUGUGCUCGGUUCUGUUUGUGGCUUGGCUGUAGCUUGCUUAGGCUGUAGCUUGCAGGGCCAAUUUGAGGCUGUUUAUGGUGCAAUUUGUUUGCGUCUGUAAAUUAAGGCUCUGCGGGUGUUUGAAAGUGUUAAUCUCCAGCUCCACGGGGACGAAGAUUUUGUCCUCUGUCCAAAUGAUCCUCAAGGUAGUUGGCAUGGUCCAUGUCAAACCAGUAGGAAGCAAGUGGGCCUAAGAUGUGCACAGUCAACAAUAAAUGGUCUAAAAACUGUCUACCUUGUGGCUGGUGCUCUUCUACACGGAGAAGAUUUGGUCCUUUUUCCUUUCCUACUGAGAUCUGGCUGAAGGAAUAAACUUUUUCAUUCUGUCGGCCGAUCUGAUGUGUAUUCUUACUUGCUCAAUGCAAAUAUUUCCUGUUGGAUUUACAAAUGGUAAAAGACUCUAAGGUGGUUCCCAGUCAUCGCUUUACAAUUGUCAAUGCGCUGUGGGAAAAUCAGUCUCGAUUUAUUUGAAGGACUAAAAAAUAAGGCACAGUAACUGUGCGGUGCUUGGGUAUAAUCUGUUGAAGUUCAACUGCCCCUUUUCUCAAAAGAAAAACAUGGUCCCAAUAAAAAUAAAAUGCUCAGGAAACUUG